UACGUAGGGCGCAAGCGUUGUCCGGAAUUAUUGGGCGUAAAGAGCUCGUAGGCGGUCUGUCGCGUCCGUUGUGAAAACUCGAGGCUCAACCUCGGGCUUGCAGUGGAUACGGGCAGACUAGAGUGCGGUAGGGGAGACUGGAAUUCCUGGUGUAGCGGUGGAAUGCGCAGAUAUCAGGAAGAACACCCGUGGCUAAGGCGGCUCUCUAGUACGGUACUGACGCUGAGACGCGAAAGCGUGGGGAGCGAACAGG
rnacentral:rRNA from 1 species